AUGAUUAUUCGUUCGCCAGAACCAGAAGUAAAAAUUGUUGUGGAUAGGGAUCCUGUAAAAACAUCUUUUGAGGAAUGGGCCAGACCCGGCCAUUUCUCAAGAACACUAGCUAAGGGCCCUGAUACUACCACUUGGAUCUGGAACCUACAUGCUGAUGCUCACGAUUUCGAUAGUCAUACUGGUGAUUUGGAGGAGAUUUCUCGAAAAGUCUUUAGUGCUCAUUUCGGGCAACUUUCCAUUAUCUUUCUUUGGUUGAGUGGCAUGUACUUUAAUGGCGCCCGUUUUUCCAAUUAUGAAGCAUGGCUAAGUGAUCCUACUCACAUUGGACCCAGUGCUUAGGUAGUUUGGCCUAUAGUAGGGCAAGAAAUAUUGAAUGGUGAUGUAGGCGGGGGUUUCCGAGGAAUCCAAAUAACCUCUGGUUUUUUCCUUUGGCGAGCAUCUGGAAUAACUAGUGAAUUACAACUCUAUUGUACUGCAAUUGGUGCAUUGAUUUUUGUAGCGUUAAUGCUUUUUGCUGGUUGGUUCCAUUAUCACAAAGCCGCUCCCAAAUUGGCCUGGUUCCAAGAUGUAGAAUCCAUGUUGAAUCACCACUUAGCGGGAUUAUUAGGACUUGGGUCUCUUUCUUGGGCGGGGCACCAAAUUCAUGUAUCUUUACCAAUUAACCAAUUUCUUGACGUUGGGGUGGAUCCUAAAGAGAUACCACUUCCUCAUGAAUUUAUCUUGAAUCGGGACCUUUUGGCUCAACUUUAUCCUAGUUUUGCCGAAGGAGCAACCCCUUUUUUCACUUUAAAUUGGUCCAAAUACGCAGAAUUUCUGACUUUUCGCGGAGGACUAGAUCCAGUAACCGGUGGUCUCUGGCUGACCGAUAUUGCGCACCAUCAUUUAGCUAUUGCUAUUCUUUUCCUAAUCGCAGGUCAUAUGUAUAGGACCAAUUGGGGUAUUGGCCAUGGACUUAAAGAUAUUUUGGAGGCUCACAAGGGCCCAUUUACAGGACAAGGCCAUAAGGGUCUUUAUGAAAUCUUAACAACGUCAUGGCAUGCUCAAUUAUCUCUUAACCUAGCUAUGCUAGGCUCUACAACCAUUGUUGUAGCUCAUCAUAUGUAUUCUAUGCCUCCCUAUCCAUACCUAGCUACUGACUAUGGUACACAACUUUCCUUGUUCACACACCACAUGUGGAUUGGCGGAUUUCUAAUAGUCGGUGCUGCUGCACAUGCAGCAAUUUUUAUGGUAAGAGACUAUGAUCCAACUACUCGAUACAACGAUCUAUUAGAUCGCGUCCUUAGACACCGCGAUGCAAUCAUAUCCCACCUUAACUGGGUAUGUAUAUUUCUAGGUUUUCACAGUUUUGGCUUGUACAUUCAUAAUGAUACCAUGAGUUCUUUAGGCCGUCCACAAGAUAUGUUUUCGGAUACUGCCAUACAAUUACAACCUAUCUUUGCUCAAUGGGUACAAAAUAUCCAUGCUACUGCGCCUGGCGUAACAGCUCCUGGUGCAACAACAAGUACUAGCUUAACGUGGGGAGGCGGCGAGUUAGUAGCAGUAGGUGGCAAAGUGGCUUUGUUACCUAUUCCAUUAGGAACCGCAGAUUUUUUAGUCCAUCACAUUCAUGCAUUUACCAUACAUGUGACUGUAUUAAUACUUUUGAAAGGUGUUUUAUUUGCUCGGAGUUCCCGUUUGAUACCCGAUAAAGCAAAUCCAGGUUUUCGCUUUCCUUGCGAUGGGCCUGGCCGAGGGGGAACAUGUCAAGUAUCCGCCUGGGAUCAUGUUUUCUUAGGUUUAUUCUGGAUGUACAAUGCAAUUUCGGUAGUCAUUUUCCAUUUCAGUUGGAAAAUGCAGUCGGAUAUUUGGGGUACUAUAAGUGAUCAAGGGGUGGUAACUCAUAUUAUAGGGGGAAACUUUGCACAGAGUUCCAUUAUGAUUAAUGGGUGGCUUCGAGAUUUCUUGUGGGCACAGGCAUCGCAAGUCAUUCAGUCUUAUGGUUCUUCAUUAUCUGCAUAUGGUCUUUUUUUCUUAGGUGCUCAUUUUAUCUGGGCCUUCAGUUUAAUGUUUUUAUUCAGCGGCCGUGGUUAUUGGCAAGAACUCAUUGAAUCUAUCGUUUGGGCUCAUAACAAAUUAAAAGUUGCUCCUGCUACUCAGCCUAGAGCCUUGAGCAUUAUACAAGGACGCGCUGUAGGAGUAACCCAUUACCUUCUGGGUGGAAUUGCCACGACAUGGGCAUUCUUCUUAGCGAGAAUUAUUGCAGUAGGAUAG
rnacentral:rRNA from 1 species